rnacentral:sRNA from 1 species
UCAAAACCUCUAGGAAGUAUGUUGUUGGAUAUAGUAUGAUGUUGGACAAAGUAGGCUGUUGGAUAAAGUUUAUAGGAUAUGAUCUACUUUCACGGUUCCACUUUUUGGAAUGUGGUUAUGAUAUGUUAAUUACUUGACUUUCACAACUGUUGGCUCAAGAAAAGCACUUUCAGGGUUUGGCCGAGUUAUAACAAAGUGAUGGCUGAGUUAUGCCUUUAUUGUGGCUGAGUUAUUGUUAGAAGAUUUUGAUUGUUCGAACUACAUAAGAGAAAACCAAAUGUUAUUAUGAGAUUUGAAUACAAGCAUUAUUGUUGGUUCGAUCGAUGUCAUCAAAUCAGUCAGAAUAUUGCUGUGUUUUGCUUUUGCUGAGUUUAUCGAGAAACAAUUAUUAUGUUAUUCUCGAGAUUAAAAAAAAAAUGAGUUAAUAGGGAACCGCGAAUAAUGAUUG